CUAUGUAGGAUGACUGUUUCUUCAUUCCAUGUGUCUGGACUACUGAGGAAGGGCUUGCUGGGUGGGAGGAUCUGAAUGG